rnacentral:tRNA from 1 species
GUGGGCACAGUUUAAUUAAAACGUUAGAUUGUGAUUCUAGAGACAGGGGUUAAAAUCCCCUUGCCCACC